GGUGCCGCUUUGGCAGUCCAUAUACUAAAAUUGGAAGGAUUCGGAGUAGAUCAUUACAGCCCCUGCUGCACAGGAUAACAUGAGAUUUCGAAGCGUUCCAUGCAUUU
rnacentral:snRNA from 1 species